UACGAAGGGGGCUAGCGUUGUCCGGAAUCACUGGGCGUAAAGCGCACGUAGGCGGAUAUGUCAGUCAGGGGUGAAAUCCCGGGGCUUAACCUCGGAACUGCCUUUGAUACAGCAUAUCUUGAGUCCGAUAGAGGUGGGUGGAAUUCCUAGUGUAGAGGUGAAAUUCGUAGAUAUUAGGAAGAACACCGGUGGCGAAGGCGGCCCACUGGAUCGGUACUGACGCUGAGGUGCGAAAGCGUGGGGAGCAAACAGG
rnacentral:rRNA from 1 species